GCUCGAGUGGCGAACGGGUGAGUAACACGUGAGUAACCUGCCCUUGACUUUGGGAUAACUUCAGGAAACUGGGGCUAAUACCGGAUAGGAGCUCCUGCUGCAUGGUGGGGGUUGGAAAGUUUCGGCGGUUGGGGAUGGACUCGCGGCUUAUCAGCUUGUUGGUGGGGUAGUGGCUUACCAAGGCUUUGACGGGUAGCCGGCCUGAGAGGGUGACCGGUCACAUUGGGACUGAGAUACGGCCCAG
rnacentral:rRNA from 1 species